CACAGGGAAGGGAGCCGCACGUUUUGCGACUCCACCUUGAAUGUGCUGGGAGUACUUCGCCUCUGAAACAGCAGGAGAGGAAUGAUGGCAGGUGGCAGCAGUGAAGCACGUGCACUUCUAACUGGAAGUUUACUGGUCCCAAUCCUGGGGCCCAGCUCUUGUACCACUGAAUGUGAAAUUUCUCCAGUAACACAUCAAAAGGUGUGAGACAGUGAAGCAUCUAAGUGCACUAUACUCACAAUGUCAGUGAACACUCCAGGCCUCAUGAGGUUGAUCAUCUUGGCCACCUGGUACACCCCCACUGCAUUCUCGCUCUCCAGCUGCUGGGACAAGG